GAUGAACGCUGGCGGCGUGCCUAACACAUGCAAGUCGAGCGAACCGACCAGGAGUUUGCUCCUUCGACGUUAGCGGCGGACGGGUGAGUAACUUGUAUGUAAACUACCUAUGAGACUGGGAUAAUUAUGGGAAAUGGGCGCUUCUAGCGGAUAAUAUUUCGCCCCGAAUGGUUCGCUAGUGAAAUUAGCCUUUUGUAUCACUUAUUGAUGCACCUGCGCCGUACUCGGUAGUUGGUAAGGUAACGGCUUACCAAGCCUUCGAUCCGUAACCGACCUGAGAGGGUGAUCGGCCACACUGGAAGUGAGGCACGGUCCAGACUCCGGCGGGAAGCAACAGUAGGGAAUCUUCCGCAAUGGGCGAGAGCCGGACGGAGCGACACGGCGUGAGUGAUGAAGGUGUUCGGAUCGGAGAACGCUGUUAGUAGUAGGAAACAAACGUGUAAGUAACUGUGCACAUCUUGACGGUACCUGGUCAAGAAGCCACGGCUAACUACGUG
rnacentral:rRNA from 1 species